UGGGGAAUAUUGCACAAUGGGCGCAAGCCUGAUGCAGCAACGCCGCGUGAGUGAAGAAGGUCUUCGGAUCGUAAAACUCUGUCCUUAGGGAAGAAAAAAAUGACGGUACCUAAGGAGGAAGCCCCGGCUAACUACGUGCCAGCAGCCGCGGUAAUACGUAGGGGGCAAGCGUUAUCCGGAAUUAUUGGGCGUAAAGAGUACGUAGGUGGUUUUAUAAGCGCAGGGGGAAAGGCCGAGGCUUAACUUCGGUUAGCCUUGCGAACUGUAAGACUUGAGUGUAGGAGAGGAAAGUGGAAUUCCUAGUGUAGCGGUGAAAUGCGUAGAUAUUAGGAGGAACAUCAGUGGCGAAGGCGACUUUCUGGACUAUAACUGACACUGAGGUACGAAAGCGUGGGGAGCAAACA
rnacentral:rRNA from 1 species